rnacentral:tRNA from 1 species
GCCGGGGUCGCCUAGCCUGGUUAGGGCGCAGGGUUGCUAACCCUGUCUCCGAAAGGAAUCGUGGGUUCGAAUCCCACUCCCGGCG